rnacentral:rRNA from 1 species
UACGUAGGGUGCUAGCGUUGUUCGGAAUCAUUGGGCGUAAAGCGCGUGUAGGCGGUUAGUUAAGUCGGGUGUGAAAUCCCUGGGCUCAACCGAGGAAGUGCAUCCGAAACUAACUAGCUAGAGAAUGGUAGAGGAAGGUGGAAUUCCGUGUGUAGAGGUGAAAUUCGUAGAUAUACGGAGGAAUACCGGUGGCGAAGGCGGCCUCUGGACCAUUUCUGACGCUGAGACGCGAAAGCGUGGGGAGCAAACAGG